rnacentral:rRNA from 1 species
GACGAACGCUGGCGGCGUGCUUAACACAUGCAAGUCGAACGGAAAGGCCCUGCUUUUGUGGGGUGCUCGAGUGGCGAACGGGUGAGUAACACGUGAGUAACCUGCCCUUGACUUUGGGAUAACUUCAGGAAACUGGGGCUAAUACCGGAUAGGAGCUCCUGCUGCAUGGUGGGGGUUGGAAAGUUUCGGCGGUUGGGGAUGGACUCGCGGCUUAUCAGCUUGUUGGUGGGGUAGUGGCUUACCAAGGCUGUGACGGGUAGCCGGCCUGAGAGGGUGGCCGGCCACAUUGGGACUGAGAGACGGCCCAGACGCCUACGGGGGGCAGCAGGGGGGAAUAUUGCACAAUGGGCGGAAGCCUGAUGCAGCAACGCCGCGUGCGGGAUGACGGCCUGCGGGUUGUAAACCGCUUUCGCCUGUGACGAAGCGUGAGUGACGGUAAUGGGUAAAGAAGCACCGGCUAACUACGUG